GACGAACGCUGGCGGCGUGCCUAAUACAUGCAAGUAGAACGCUGAAGGAGGAGCUUGCUUCUCCGGAUGAGUUGCGAACGGGUGAGUAACGCGUAGGUAACCUGCCUGGUAGCGGGGGAUAACUAUUGGAAACGAUAGCUAAUACCGCAUAAGAGUAGCUGUCGCAUGACAUUUGCUUAAAAGUUGCAACUGCACCACUACCAGAUGGACCUGCGUUGUAUUAGCUAGUUGGUGAGGUAACGGCUCACCAAGGCAACGAUACAUCGCCGACCGGAGAGGGGGAGUGGCCAGACUGGGACGGAGACAGGGCCCAGAGUCCUACGGGAGGGAGCAGGAGGGAAUCGGGGGCAAGGGGCGGAAGACUGACCGAGCAACGCGGCGGGAGGGAAGAAGGGUGUCGGAUCGGAAAGCUCGGUUGUAGGGGGAGAAAGAGCGUGAGCGUGGAAAGUACACACUGUGACGGUAGCUGAUCAGAAAGCGACGGCUAACUACGUG
rnacentral:rRNA from 1 species